rnacentral:rRNA from 1 species
UGAUCUUAGCGGCGGACGGGUGAGGACACGUGGGCAACCUGCCCUGCAGAUCGGGAUAACUCCGGGAAACCGGGAAAAUACCGAAUAGUUUGCGGCCUCUCAUGAGGCUGCACGGAAAGACGGUUUCGGCUGUCACUGCUCGAUGGGCCCGCGGCGCAUUAGCUAGUUGGUGAGGUAACGGCUCACCAAGGCCACGAUGCGUAGCCGACCUGAGAGGGUGAUCGGCCACACUGGGACUGAGACACGGCCCAGACUCCUACGGGAGGCAGCAGUAGGGAAUCUUCCGCAAUGGACGAAAGUCUGACGGAGCAACGCCGCGUGAGUGAAGAAGGUUUUCGGAUCGUAAAACUCUGUUGUGAGGGAAGAACAAGUACCAAGUAACUACUGGUACCUUGACGGUACCUCACCAGAAAGCCACGGCUAACUACGUGCCAGCAGCCGCGGUAAUACGUAGGUGGCAAGCGUUGUCCGGAAUUAUUGGGCGUAAAGCGCGCGCAGGCGGUCCUUUAAGUCUGAUGUGAAAGCCCACGGCUCAACCGUGGAGGGUCAUUGGAAACUGGGGGACUUGAGUGCAGAAGAGGAAAGUGGAAUUCCACGUGUAGCGGUGAAAUGCGUAGAGAUGUGGAGGAACACCAGUGGCGAAGGCGACUUUCUGGUCUGUAACUGACGCUGAGGCG